GAUGAAGAACGUAGUGAAAUGCGAUAAGUAAUGUGAAUUGCAGAAUUCAGUGAAUCAUCGAAUCUUUGAACGCACAUUGCGCCCCCUGGUAUUCCGGGGGGCAUGCCUGUCCGAGCGUCAUUGCUGCCCUCAAGCACGGCUUGUGUGUUGGGCCUCCGUCCUCCUCCCGGGGGACGGGCCCGAAAGGCAGCGGCGGCACCGCGUCCGGUCCUCGAGCGUAUGGGGCUUCGUCACCCGCUCUUGUAGGCCCGGCCGGCGCUUGCCGACACAUCAAUCUUUUUUCCAGGUUGACCUCGGAUCAGGUAGGGAUACCCGCUGAACUUAAGCAUAUCAAUAAGCGGAGGA
rnacentral:misc_RNA from 1 species